AGAGCGUACGGUGGAUGCCUUGGCACCAGGAGCCGAUGAAGGACGUAGGAGGCUGCGAUAAGCCUCGGGGAGCUGUCAACCGAGCUGAGAUCCGAGGGUGUCCGAAUGGGGAAACCCAGCACGAGUGAUGUCGUGUUACCCGCAUCUGAAUAUAUAGGGUGUGUGGAGGGAACGUGGGGAAGUGAAACAUCUCAGUACCCACAGGAAGAGAAAACAACAGUGAUUCCGUCAGUAGUGGCGAGCGAACGCGGAAGAGGCCAAACCAUGUGCAUGUGAUACCCGGCAGGGGUUGUGCGUGUGGGGUUGUGGGGUUUGUCUUGUCGAUUCUGCCGGAUCGGCCGACAGUGAGAAAUCGUGUGGUUAGUCGAAGUGGUCUGGGAUGGCCUGCCGUAGAGGGUGAGAGUCCCGUAGACGAAAACUGUGCGACUGUCGUGAUGAAUGCCCAAGUAGCAGCGGGCCCGUGAAAUCUGCUGUGAAUCUGUCGGGACCACCCGAUAAGCCUGAAUACUCCCUGGUGACCGAUAGCGGACUAGUACCGUGAGGGAAAGGUGAAAAGUACCCCGGGAGGGGAGUGAAAUAGUACCUGAAACCGUGCGCUUACAAUCCGUCAGAGCCUGCGAGUGACUUGUCGCUGUGGGUGAUGGCGUGCCUUUUGAAGAAUGAGCCUGCGAGUCAGUGGUAUGUGGCGAGGUUAACCCGUGUGGGGUAGCCGUAGCGAAAGCGAGUCCGAAUAGGGCGACCGUAGUCGCAUGCUCUGGACCCGAAGCGGAGUGAUCUACCCAUGGCCAGGGUGAAGCGACGGUAAGACGUCGUGGAGGCCCGAACCCACUUAGGUUGAAAACUGAGGGGAUGAGUUGUGGGUAGGGGUGAAAGGCCAAUCAAACUCCGUGAUAGCUGGUUCUCCCCGAAAUGCAUUUAGGUGCAGCGUCGCGUGUUUCAUCCUGGAGGUAGAGCUACUGGAUGGUCUAGGGGGCCCACAAGCUUACCGAAAUCAGCCAAACUCCGAAUGCCAGGAUGUGAGAGCGCGGCAGUGAGACUGCGGGCGAUAAGGUUCGUAGUCGAGAGGGAAACAGCCCAGAUCGCCGGCUAAGGCCCCUAAGCGUGUACUAAGUGGAAAAGGAUGUGAAGUCGCGAAGACAACCAGGAGGUUGGCUUAGAAGCAGCCACCCUUGAAAGAGUGCGUAAUAGCUCACUGGUCAAGUGAUUUUGCGCCGACAAUGUAGCGGGGCUCAAGUACACCGCCGAAGCCGCGGCACUCACAUGUAUCCCGUCCGAUCCUCAUGGGGGUCGGGCCAGGUGUGUGGGUGGGUAGGGGAGCGUCGUGUGGCCGGGGAAGCGCCGGAGUGAUCCAGGUGUGGAGGCCACGCGAGUGAGAAUGCAGGCAUGAGUAGCGAAAGACGAGUGAGAAACUCGUCCGCCGAAUGACCAAGGGUUCCUGGGCCAGGUUAAUCCGCCCAGGGUGAGUCGGGACCUAAGGCGAGGCCGACAGGCGUAGUCGAUGGACAACGGGUUGAUAUUCCCGUACCCGUGUAUCCGCGCCCAUGACGAAUCAGGAGUACUAACCGUCCAGAUCUUCCGUGAGCACCUUCGGGUGCCUGGUGGAGUGAUGCACGGGACCUUUCCUGGUAGUAGUCAAGCGAUGGGGUGACGCAGGAAGGUAGCUGGGCCAGUCAGUGGUUGUACUGGUGUAAGCCUGUAGGGCGAACGGUAGGCAAAUCCGCCGUUCACGAAGCCUGAGAGGUGAUGCGUAGCCGAAUGAGGCGAAUUCAGUGAUCCUAUGCUGCCGAGAAAAGCCUCUAGUGAGUUGGUACACGGCCCGUACCCCAAACCGACACAGGUGGUCAGGUAGAGAAUACCAAGGCGAUCGAGAGAACUAUGGUUAAGGAACUCGGCAAAAUGCCCCCGUAACUUCGGGAGAAGGGGGACCCCUGCUGGUGAUCACUCUUGCAGUGUGAGCUGGUGUGGGUCGCAGAGACCAGUGAGAAGCGACUGUUUACUAAAAACACAGGUCCGUGCGAAGUCGUAAGACGAUGUAUACGGACUGACGCCUGCCCGGUGCUGGAAGGUUAAGAGGACCGGUCAGCCACUUCGGUGGCGAAGCUGAGAAUUUAAGCCCCAGUAAACGGCGGUGGUAACUAUAACCAUCCUAAGGUAGCGAAAUUCCUUGUCGGGUAAGUUCCGACCUGCACGAAUGGCGUAACGACUUCUCAGCUGUCUCAACCAUAGACUCGGCGAAAUUGCAUUACGAGUAAAGAUGCUCGUUACGCGCGGCAGGACGAAAAGACCCCGGGACCUUCACUACAGCUUGGUAUUGGUGUUCGGUUCGGUUUGUGUAGGAUAGGUGGGAGACUGUGAAGCAUGCACGCCAGUGUGUGUGGAGUCGUUGUUGAAAUACCACUCUGAUCGUAUUGGAUACCUCAACCUCGGACCAUGAUCUGGUUCAGGGACAGUGCCUGGUGGGUAGUUUAACUGGGGCGGUUGCCUCCCAAAAUGUAACGGAGGCGCCCAAAGGUUCCCUCAGCCUGGUUGGCAAUCAGGUGUCGAGUGCAAGUGCACAAGGGAGCUUGACUGUGAGACUGACAGGUCGAGCAGGGACGAAAGUCGGGACUAGUGAUCCGGCACCGGCAAGUGGAAGCGGUGUCGCUCAACGGAUAAAAGGUACCCCGGGGAUAACAGGCUGAUCUUCCCCAAGAGUCCAUAUCGACGGGAUGGUUUGGCACCUCGAUGUCGGCUCGUCGCAUCCUGGGGCUGGAGUAGGUCCCAAGGGUUGGGCUGUUCGCCCAUUAAAGCGGCACGCGAGCUGGGUUUAGAACGUCGUGAGACAGUUCGGUCUCUAUCCGCCGCGCGCGUGAAGAAACUUGAGGAAGGCUGUCCCUAGUACGAGAGGACCGGGACGGACGAACCUCUGGUGUGCCAGUUGUUCCACCAGGAGCACUGCUGGUUGGCUACGUUCGGAAGGGAUAACCGCUGAAAGCAUCUAAGCGGGAAGCCUGUUCCAAGAUGAGGUUUCU
rnacentral:rRNA from 1 species